GUCUUAACCGGGCGUUAAGUUGCAGGGUAUAGACCCGAAACCCGGUGAUCUAGCCAUGGGCAGGUUGAAGGUUGGGUAACACUAACUGGAGGACCGAACCGACUAAUGUUGAAAAAUUAGCGGAUGACCUGUGGCUGGGGGUGAAAGGCCAAUCAAACCGGGAGAUAGCUGGUUCUCCCCGAAAGCUAUUUAGGUAGCGCCUCGUGAAUUCAUCUCCGGGGGUAGAGCACUGUUUCGGCUAGGGGGCCAUCCCGGCUUACCAACCCGAUGCAAACUGCGAAUACCGGAGAAUGUUAUCACGGGAGACACACGGCGGGUGCUAACGUCCGUCGUGAAGAGGGAAACAACCCAGACCGCCAGCUAAGGUCCCAAAGUCAUGGUUAAGUGGGAAACGAUGUGGGAAGGCCCAGACAGCCAGGAUGUUGGCUUAGAAGCAGCCAUCAUUUAAAGAAAGCGUAAUAGCUCACUGGUCGAGUCGGCCUGCGCGGAAGAUGUAACGGGGCUAAACCAUGCACCGAAGCUGCGGCAGCGAACGUAUCACUUAAAGCGAUUCAGCGGGUUACGAUUGACGGAGCGAAGCGACGUCAAAGCGUAUACAAAGUCGAGUCGGUUUAAGGAUACGUUCGUUGGGUAGGGGAGCGUUCUGUAAGCCUGUGAAGGUGGCCUGUGAGGGUUGCUGGAGGUAUCAGAAGUGCGAAUGCUGACAUAAGUAACGAUAAAGCGGGUGAAAAGCCCGCUCGCCGGAAGACCAAGGGUUCCUGUCCAACGUUAAUCGGGGCAGGGUGAGUCGACCCCUAAGGCGAGGCCGAAAGGCGUAGUCGAUGGGAAACGGGUUAAUAUUCCCGUACUUGGUGUUACUGCGAAGGGGGGACGGAGAAGGCUAUGUUGGCCGGGCGACGGUUGUCCCGGUUUAAGCGUGUAGGCUGGUUUUCCAGGCAAAUCCGGAAAAUCAAGGCUGAGGCGUGACGACGAGGCACUACGGUGCUGAAGCAACAAAUGCCCUGCUUCCAGGAAAAGCCUCUAAGCAUCAGGUAACAUCAAAUCGUACCCCAAACCGACACAGGUGGUCAGGUAGAGAAUACCAAGGCGCUUGAGAGAACUCGGGUGAAGGAACUAGGCAAAAUGGUGCCGUAACUUCGGGAGAAGGCACGCUGACAUGUAGGUGAAGUGAUUUACUCAUGGAGCUGAAGUCAGUCGAAGAUACCAGCUGGCUGCAACUGUUUAUUAAAAACACAGCACUGUGCAAACACGAAAGUGGACGUAUACGGUGUGACGCCUGCCCGGUGCCGGAAGGUUAAUUGAUGGGGUCAGCGCAAGCGAAGCUCCUGAUCGAAGCCCCGGUAAACGGCGGCCGUAACUAUAACGGUCCUAAGGUAGCGAAAUUCCUUGUCGGGUAAGUUCCGACCUGCACGAAUGGCGUAAUGAUGGCCAGGCUGUCUCCACCCGAGACUCAGUGAAAUUGAACUCGCUGUGAAGAUGCAGUGUACCCGCGGCAAGACGGAAAGACCCCGUGAACCUUUACUAUAGCUUGACACUGAACAUUGAGCCUUGAUGUGUAGGAUAGGUGGGAGGCUUUGAAGCGUGGACGCCAGUCUGCGUGGAGCCGACCUUGAAAUACCACCCUUUAAUGUUUGAUGUUCUAACGUGGACCCGU
rnacentral:rRNA from 1 species